UACGUAGGGGGCAAGCGUUAUCCGGAUUUACUGGGUGUAAAGGGAGCGUAGACGGAGCAGCAAGUCUGAUGUGAAAACCUGGGGCUCAACCCCGGGACUGCAUUGGAAACUGUUGAUCUGGAGUGCCGGAGAGGUAAGCGGAAUUCCUAGUGUAGCGGUGAAAUGCGUAGAUAUUAGGAGGAACACCAGUGGCGAAGGCGGCUUACUGGACGGUAACUGACGUUGAGGCUCGAAAGCGUGGGGAGCAAACAGG
rnacentral:rRNA from 1 species